rnacentral:rRNA from 1 species
UUGAACGCUGGCGGCAUGCCUUACACAUGCAAGUCGAACGGUAACAGGUCUUCGGAUGCUGACGAGUGGCGAACGGGUGAGUAAUACAUCGGAACGUGCCCGAUCGUGGGGGAUAACGAAGCGAAAGCUUUGCUAAUACCGCAUAGGAUCUACAGAUGAAAGCAGGGGACCGCAAGGCCUUGCGCGAACGGAGCGGCCGAUGGCAGAUCAGGUAGUUGGUGGGAUAAAAGCUUACCAAGCCGACGAUCUGUAGCUGGUCUGAGAGGACGACCAGCCACACUGGGACUGAGACACGGCCCAGACUCCUACGGGAGGCAGCAGUGGGGAAUUUUGGACAAUGGGCGAAAGCCUGAUCCAGCCAUGCCGCGUGCAGGAUGAAGGCCUUCGGGUUGUAAACUGCUUUUGUACGGAACGAAAAGACUCUGGUUAAUACCUGGGGUCCAUGACGGUACCGUAAGAAUAAGCACCGGCUAACUACGUG